CCGUCUUUGUGAGGACAUAGCUCGCACCUCUGUGAAAAGAAGAGAAAUACAUGAAUCCACAAUCCAUCCGACCAUCUGUGGGCCAGACACAAGCUCUGAAGGCUUUCAGGAACUCUACUUCUGACAUGAACAUCAAACUAAAGCAGAGUUUAAGGGUGGUGGACAGUCGUCCUUCUUCAGGGGUCUGCCAGCUCGGCUUUCUCCCCCUCCACCCCUUAAUCUUUAGGAAUGAAGUGGCAGAGCAGGGCCCGUUUUUAGUAAGUGGAGGAAUUUGAACAAAUGCAGAAAUUUGGUUUCAUAAUUAUGCUUUUGGGAAAACGCUUCGUUUUAAGACUGCUCCAGUAAGCUACAGUUCUCUCAAAUCUUGGUUAGAAGUGGCAAAAGCCACAAAAAUAUUUCACGUGACAAAGCAGUGGAUAAUAAUAGGGAAGUCCUGUUUCUUUUCAGAAUGAGAGCAGUUGGUAUUGAAAAUGUCUCUAACCUCAUAAAAAGCUUUAUGUGGGAUGCCUUGUUUUGGCAUGAAUCCAGAUCUUUCAACAAAAAUGGCCACAUGAUGGGUUGUGUAACAAGUUUCCUCUUCUUGUGACCCACUGUUCUUUUGCUCUAAACUGCCACUUAGGUUUCGUGGCUACCUGACAGCUCAAGCAAGUCCCAUGCACAGCCAUCAAAUCGCAGAGCUCUCGAAGGAAACUGCUGUAACUGCCAACACAACUUUGCCUAUCCUAAUCAUUCAUGUUUCCUUUACCCCAACCACAAUCUUCUAUUAAUAAAUACAAGAAUGGCAUUUA